rnacentral:ncRNA from 1 species
UUAUGUCAAGGGCAAGCUCUCCGAAAGGGGAAGCGCGCAAAGCCAUGGGUCUACGGCCCCUGGGCGUUGGUGCUCCCGGUGGGGCUAAGAUCGCCAGGCUGCCGUU